rnacentral:rRNA from 1 species
CGUAGGGUGCGAGCGUUAAUCGGAAUUACUGGGCGUAAAGCGUGCGCAGGCGGUUUAGUAAGACAGGCGUGAAAUCCCCGGGCUCAACCUGGGAACUGCGCUUGUGACUGCUAAGCUAGAGUACGGCAGAGGGGGUGGAAUUCCGCGUGUAGCAGUGAAAUGCGUAGAUAUGCGGAGGAACACCGAUGGCGAAGGCAAUCCCCUGGGCCUGUACUGACGCUCAUGCACGAAAGCGUGGGGAGCAAACAGGAUUAGAUACCCUGGUAGUCCACGCCCUAAACGAUGUCAACUGGUUGUUGGGUCUUCACUGACUCAGUAACGAAGCUAACGCGUGAAGUUGACCGCCUGGGGAGUACGGCCGCAAGGUUG